rfam:Carnobacterium maltaromaticum LMA28 complete genome
GCUUGUUCAUGCUAUUUUAGAAAAAUGGAAGUUUGGUGAAAAUCCAACGCGGUCCCGCCACUGUAAUAAGCAAUGAUUGCUUUAAGUCAGGUCUUUUCUUCUAAGAUACUCUGGUACUAUUGUUUCGAGGCAAAACAAUAGGCUUUUG